rnacentral:lncRNA from 1 species
UCGGAUGGAAAAAGAAGGGAAGAGAGGGGGUUAAAUGAGAAAAAGCUUCUCCUUUCAGAGUGGGGGACGGUCACCAUCCUGCUCCUAUUUAUCUUUCUGUGUCCAAUUGAUAUAUGUGCUAGGCAUCCCUCCUAAUUUGAUUGUUGUUAUGUACUGAAGCUGAUUAGCUAACCAUCCCGAUUAAUUUAAUUACUUAUUUCUUUUUUUCCCUUUAGAGGUUGCUGCUCAGUGCGUAGAAAUAUAUUGGUGUCCUAGAAUUUUUAUUCCUAAGAGAAGGACUAUCAGAGUCUCAUCAGUUGAGGCAGGUAUGGAAAUCUCAGUGCCCAUGUGCAUCAUGUUUCUAUGCAAUUCUAGUAAAAUAUUGGUGGCCUAGCAUUUAGUAUUGCUAACAGAGUACUUUCAAAUGUCAUAAGUUUGACUGUUGAGAACUGUCACUCUUCUAUCCAUGUCACUUUUGUUACAGCAUUUGCUGCACUGUGGCUAACGAUGACCCUAGGACCACUCUUUUGUUGGCCUAGCAUGUAUACUUUCUUGUUGUUAAUAAUGUGGAUCUUGCAUUACAUCCAUUUUUAAGUAACAAAGGUCUGAUGCCCUGGUAUUACAAUAUUUGAUUGAUCUUUCCUCACGAUUCCUUUUCUUUGUGAUGGAAUUGAUUUCAGAUGUGCAUGGUCUAAUUGUGUGAAAAAUACAUCCAAACAAGCGACGACAGCAAGACCAUGAAAACGGCGGUACGAAACAGCCCGCGGAGCAACCCCCGGCAGCAGCUGCCACCCGCCGCUCCGCCAUCGUCAUCCUCGUCGCUGCCGGACUGAUCUGAGUUGUAGCCGCUGCCGUCGUCGUCAUUGGCCUCCCCUUCUGUGCUCACGGCCGGCGCCGGCGCCGGACCCUUCAUCAUCUCCUCCUGGUUCUGAUGCUCGCCGUUGGCCACCGCCGGCUGCUUCUUCUUCUACUUCCUGUUGCUCGCCUUCUUGUCCAUGCGACCGUGCUUUGGAGCGUCGCCGCCGACCCCGCUGCAGCUCUCCCCGUUGGGCGCGGGCUGCUGCUUGUCCUUGGCCUCCCCGUCGUCAAGUUUCCUACUCCUGGCCAUGGCCACCGCCUUCUCGCUGUCGCCGAGGUCGUUUUUGGCGAGGACAGCCCACAUGGUUGGCGCUCGCC